rnacentral:rRNA from 1 species
GAAUUGCAUUUGAAACUGGCAGACUAGAGUACUGUAGAGGGGGGUAGAAUUUCAGGUGUAGCGGUGAAAUGCGUAGAGAUCUGAAGGAAUACCGGUGGCGAAGGCGGCCCCCUGGACAGAUACUGACACUCAGAUGCGAAAGCGUGGGGAGCAAACAGGAUUAGAUACCCUGGUAGUCCACGCCGUAAACGAUGUCUACUUGGAGGUUGUGGCCUUGAGCCGUGGCUUUCGGAGCUAACGCAUUAAGUAGACCGCCUGGGGAGUACGGUCGCAAGAUUAAAACUCAAAUGAAUUGACGGGGGCCCGCACAAGCGGUGGAGCAUGUGGUUUAAUUCGAUGCAACGCGAAGAACCUUACCUACUCUUGACAUCCAGAGAACUUUCCAGAGAUGGAUUGGUGCCUUCGGGAACUCUGAGACAGGUGCUGCAUGGCUGUCGUCAGCUCGUGUUGUGAAAUGUUGGGUUAAGUCCCGCAACGAGCGCAACCCUUAUCCUUGUUUGCCAGCGAGUAAUGUCGGGAACUCCAGGGAGACUGCCGGUGAUAAACCGGAGGAAGGUGGGGACGACGUCAAGUCAUCAUGGCCCUUACGAGUAGGGCUACACACGUGCUACAAUGGCGCAUACAGAGGGCAGCCAACUUGCGAGAGUGAGCGAAUCCCAAAAAGUGCGUCGUAGUCCGGAUCGGAGUCUGCAACUCGACUCCGUGAAGUCGGAAUCGCUAGUAAUCGUGGAUCAGAAUGCCACGGUGAAUACGUUCCCGGGCCUUGUACACACCGCCCGUCACACCAUGGGAGUGGGCUGCAAAAGAAGUAGGUAGUUUAACCUUCGGGAGGACGCUUACCACUUUGUGGUUCAUGACUGGGGUGAAGUCGUAACAAGGUAGCGCUAGGGGAACCUGGCGCUGGAUCACCU